rnacentral:lncRNA from 1 species
AAUUGCACUGUGUAGCCGUCUGCUGGAGUAUACACCAACUGCCCGACUAACACCACUGGAAGCUUGUGCACAUUCAUUUUUUGAUGAAUUACGGGACCCAAAUGUCAAACUACCAAAUGGGCGAGACACACCUGCACUCUUCAACUUCACCACUCAAAUGCUAAUACUGGAGACCGUGGACAGACCAAUAAUGCUGCUUCUGCAUCAGCUUCCAACUCCACCUGAACAGUCCCGAGCA